rnacentral:rRNA from 1 species
GACAGAGGGUGCAAACGUUGUUCGGAAUUACUGGGCGUAAAGUGUGCGCAGGCGGCGUUGCAAGUCGAGUGUGAAAGCCCCGGGCUUAACUUGGGAAUUGCGCUCGAAACUACGAUGCUGGAGUAUGGCAGAGGAAGGUGGAAUUCCACGUGUAGCGGUGAAAUGCGUAGAGAUGUGGAGGAACACCGAUGGCGAAGGCAGCCUUCUGGGCCAAUACUGACGCUCAUGCACGAAAGCGUGGGGAGCAAACAGG